UACGUAGGAGACGAGCGUUGUCCGGAAUUACUGGGCGUAAAGCGCGUGUAGGCGGGCGUGCAAGUCUGCUGUGAAAGCUCCUGGCUUAACCGGGAGUGGUCGGUGGAAACUGCACACCUGGAGGACGGUAGAGGUAGGUAGAAUUCCCGGUGUAGUGGUGAAAUGCGUAGAGAUCGGGAGGAAUACCUGUGGCGAAGGCGGCCUACUGGGCCGGACCUGACGCUGAGACGCGAAGGCGUGGGGAGCGAACGGG
rnacentral:rRNA from 1 species